rnacentral:rRNA from 1 species
UGGUGGAGUGAUUUGUCUGGUUAAUUCCGUUAACGAACGAGACCUCAGCCUGCUAAAUAGUCGGGCGAACACAUUCCGUGUUCGUGUUGCGACUUCUUAGAGGGACUAGCAGAAGGAAGUUUGAGGCAAUAACA